rnacentral:pre_miRNA from 1 species
AGCGGUAAGACAUUAACAUUGUUGAAAUUUAUAUUAGUUAUAUUCAAUAAAUUUAAUAUCUUUGC